rnacentral:lncRNA from 1 species
GGUUCGGGUCCGAGGUGGCUCGAAGGGCUUGGAGGGCGGAACGUUCCUCAGCUUUCCAGAUGUGUUGCUGUCUUUUGGAGUGGCAGGGAGAGGCUCUGAGGCGGUGUCUGGGACAUGAAGAGCUUUAACCAUCAGACAGAAGCCUAGCAUGGCUGUCAUCUGAGAAGCUCUGCUAGCAACUAACUGAAACUGAUGCAGAUACUUAACAGCCAAACAUUGGACUGAAGUUGGGACCCCCGUGGAAGAGAUAGAAGAAAGAUUGAAGGAGCAGAAGCAGAUGGCAACGCUAUAGGAAGACCAACAGUGUCUACUAAUAUGGUCUCCUGGGAGCUCCCAGAGACUAAGCUACCAACCAAAGAGUGUACAUAGGCUGGUACGUGGUCAUUGGCACAUAUGUAGAAGACUGCCUUAACUGGUUGUGGGAACUAAAGGGGGGUGUAGGGGAAGGAGAGGGGAGGGAGGAUAGCCCACAUCCGGCCAGAGUUCUACCUGUGCUCUGGGCAGGCAGACGUGGGAGGGCUUCCAGAUGCUUUCCACUCAGCCCCAGGUGGGCAUCUAAGCCACUGACCCCACUCGACGGGGGGUGGGGUGGACAAGGGGCAGCCCUGAAACCAGGGGCUCUGGGGUGACACCCUCGGCCCCAGGGUUAUGGGAGAGAGGGCUUAGGGAGAGAGGUUCCCAUGCAGUUGAGAGGCCUAAGUCCAGGCCUUGACUGGAGCACAGGAAGGCCUUCCAUCGGGAGAUGAAGGCUCAGUAGGAGAAAGCCUAUCCCAUCGUCCAGGUGCAGUGGGCCUUGAUGAACAGAGACAAUGUUUGAUUUUAGAGCUUUAUUGUAGAAAGGCAGGGGGAAAGGAGAGAAGGCAGAAAGAGAGAGAGAGAGAGACCAGCCAUGGCCAAGAGGAGAGAAGGGGGAAAAGGAGAGAGAGAAGAAAGGCUAGAGUAAGAGGUUAAAGAGAGAGAGUGAGGAAAGCAUGAGGAGAGGAGAGAGGAGAGUAAGGGGAGUAAGAGAGUGAGGUGGGGCCAAGCAGCCCCUCUUAUGGUGGGCUGUUUCCUUUACAGUUGCUAGGUAACUGGGAAGAGUUUAGCCUGAAGGUCAGAAGCUUGGGACAUUGUCUACAGGACUACUAGCCAUGCCUCUCCUGUGGGGGCUGUGGGGGCAGUAACUUCAACAGGAGCCUUGAGUCCAGGAGACAUGCGGGAACUCCUUCCGUCCCAUGUAGGUGAAUUAUCACUAUCACUGGGUUUCUCCGAGGUUCAGAUCUCAUCUUGACUGGAGACCAGGCUGUCUGGUCUCAGUGGGAGAGGAUGGGCCUAAAC